rnacentral:rRNA from 1 species
UCCGAUGCACAGACGGUAGAGAUUCCGUCACCACCAAAAGAGUUAAACACAGGGACACAUAUGAAGUCUCGGAGCCGGGUGUUGGUUCCGGUAGCGAUCGAGGGAAAUUAGUACCGAAGUCCGGGAUGGAAGAUGGCGAGAAAAGCUGUGUGUAUUUCUGCGGUGCCCGUACCGCAAACCGACACAGGUAGGUAGGAAGAAGAUUCUAAGGCCAACGGGAGAAGGGGUUAAGGAACUCGGCAAAUUGACCCCGUAACUUCGGGAGAAGGGGUGCUGCAGCAAUGCAGCCGCAGAGAAUCGGCCCAAGCAACUGUUUACCAAAAACACAGGUUUGUGCUAAAUCGAAAGAUGACGUAUACGAGCUGACGCCUGCCCGGUGCUGGAAGGUUAAGAGGAGAUGUGCAAGCAUUGAAUCGAAGCCCCAGUGAACGGCGGCCGUAACAAUAACGGUCCUAAGGUAGCGAAAUUCCUUGUCAGGUAAGUUCUGACCCGCAUGAAAGGCGUAAUGAUUUGGGCACUGUCUCAACAGCCCGCCCGGCGAAAUUGUAGUACCGGUGAAGAUGCCGGUUACCCGCGACAAGACGGAAAGACCCCAUGGAGCUUUACUGUAGCCUAAUAUUGGGUUUCGAUGUUGCAUGCACAGGAUAGAUGGGACACUGGGAAGCAGGUGCUUUGGCGCUUGUGGAGUGGCCGUUGGGAUACCAUCCUUUGAUAUUGGAAUUCUAACCUGCGCCUUUGAAUCAAGGCGGGGGACAUUGUUAGGUGGGCAGUUUGACUGGGGCGGUCGCCUCCUAAAGAGUAACGGAGGCGUUCAAAGGUUCGCUCAGCUUGAACGGAAAUCAAGCAAAAGAGUGCAAACGCAGAAGCGAGCCUAACUGCGAGACUGACGGGUCGAGCAGUAACGAAAGUUGGAGUUAGUGAUCCGGUGGUAUGUGAGUGGAAAUGCCAUCGCUCAACGGAUAAAAGUUACCCUGGGGAUAACAGGCUGAUCUCCCCCAAGAGUCCACAUCGACGGGGAGGUUUGGCACCUCGAUGUCGGCUCACCGCAUCCUGGGGCUGUAUUCGGUCCCAAGGGUUUGGCUGUUCGCCAAUUAAAGCGGUACGCGAGCUGGGUUCAGAACGUCGUGAGACAGUUCGGUCCCUAUCUGUCGUGGGCGCAGGAUAUUUGAUGGGAGCUGUUCCUAGUACGAGAGGACCGGAGCGGACGUACCUCUGGCGCACCAGUUGUUCUGCCAAGAGCAUAGCUGGGCAACUAUGUACGGAUCGGAUAAACGCUGAAAGCAUCUAAGCGUGAAGCCGACCCAAAGAUAAGAUAUCCCAUUGUUUCAAACAAGUAAGACCCCUUGAAGACUACAAGGUUGAUAGGCACGAUGUGUAAGUGGAGCGAUCCAUUCAGCAAGCGUGUACUAAUAGGUCGAGGGCUUGACC